rnacentral:ncRNA from 1 species
ACACCUUCGAAAGAGCAGCGAAGGUGUCCUAAGUUGAGCUCAGUGAGGACAGAAAUCUCACGUUGAGGAUAAGGCCAAAAGCUCAAUUUACUGUGCCUUUUUGUACUAGGAUCAGUUACGAAAGUAAGGCCUAACGAUCCCUAAAUAGCCUCAGGUGCGUGAGGAUUGGGGUGACAGACAAGUUACCUCCGGGACAACUGGCUUGUGGCUGCUAAGAGAUCAAAUCAACGCAGCUUUUUGAUUCUUCGAUGUCGGCUCUUCCUAUCCUAGUGAUGUACAAGUUGCUAAGGGUCGGAUUGUUCACCCGUAUUAGGGAUCGUGAGCUGGGUUUAGACCGUCGUGAGCCAGGUUUGUUUUAUCCUACUGGAUAUAGCAUCAUGAUAGUAGAUUGAUUUAGUACGAGAGGAACUGUUGAUUAUGGCCUCUGGUUAGCGAUUAUCGGAAACGGUAUGUCGCGCAGCUACGCCGUCUGGGAUAAUGGCUGAAAGCCUCUUAAGCCAGAAGCCCAUCUAGAAAGUGAUGCACGUGAUGUUGGACCGAUACGAAUAAUCAUACUCAAAAGGUCCGCUUCAUAGGUAACCCAAUGUAGAAGACAUUGUGUGAACGAAGGUACUGUAAGCAGUGGAGUGGCAUUACGUCCACGACCUGUUGAGGUUCAGCUUCGCUUCUAGGUUUCC